rnacentral:misc_RNA from 1 species
CUGGAAAGAAAUAAAACUCUAUGAUAUCAUAAUGCAGAUAUUCAAGUUCUACAGCAGUUCUACAAUGAGUAUAUAAACAGCAACACUCUGAAAACAUGAAAUUUUAUCAAGCUGGCCAUCAAGCCAAUAUGCAGGAACAACCCUAAUUUUCCCUGAAGAAAUAAGAACAAACAUAACUGCACUAAACCAAAGUUAAUCAUCAAACAGAAGCUUCAAGAUCACAAAUUGCUUUUUCACUUGAUGUGUCUGUACAGAACUCUCAAUGAAAUCACAGUUUGCUCUAUUCUGUAGAACAUAUACAUAUGAUCAUCCAAGUACAGACAUCAACUAAACAUGUGAAAGAAAUGAAAAAUACGACAAUUUAAACUGAAAGACAAACUGCCCAGCAUCAAAAUGAUGAACACUAAAACAAAGCUCAUUACAUCACAUUUAUUAAUCUUUCCUUCAGCCCCAUCAAACUAGAAAGCCUACCAACCAUUUCAACAGAAAGUCACAAGAAAUGAGCUCCAAACUUUAUACAAAUACUUCCUCAAUUUUGACCAAGUCUCCAGUUACCAGAAAUGGAUGUAAUAUAUUAUUACAAGAAAACACCCUUGUAACUGUAAACAAAAAUUAAUAUUUAACCAUCAGGACAGGAGCUCAUGAAAAAUCAUUGAUAAAAAACUACAAACAUAAUUCUAUCUUUUAUGCUUAGGUUGUCCAAGUUUGUAUCUUUGGUAGCUUUGCUGCACAACUGUUGGAGACCAAAAAACCCACUGGAUAUACCCGAUU